UGGGCCUCCGGUAACCUCACUCACACAACGAAACACAACGCAAGCGUUGUUUCACGUCGGUUUUCUGUCGCCGUGGUAUUACUCCGGUCGAGCCGGCCCAUUCGUGCCGAAGCAUGGCUCUCCCACACUUGUUUUACCGACUAAGCGCGAAGUAUAGAUACACUUGUUAGUUAUAUAGUUAUGAAUGAGUGUUUCAGUUCCCCCUGAGUUUCACUUACCCCACCUGACUCUAUAAUAUAAAAGAAAUUAAAAUAUUACCUGUAUGCAGUUUUACUCAACUUAUAAACUACUUU